rnacentral:lncRNA from 1 species
AGUAGAUAGAUGUUUGUUAUAACAGGAGAGAAUAUAUAAGAAGGUUACUUAGUCUAGUUUUGUAUGACCUGAUGUGUACAGCCAGUGUAAAUAACAUUUUUGAAAGGGCCUUCAGCAUCUUUAGCAUAGGAUUCACCAUUAUAUUCUCAGUAAUGUUUUAAGAAAAUGCUAAACUAUAUAAUAAGUAGUUAUUUGCAUGAGUUUAAACUGUAACACUGUCAUUAGCUCCUAAUAAUAAAUCACUAGGUGGUUAUAUUGUGUUUUGUUACUAAAUGUUAAAAUACUGAAAAAUUCAUUUUUCUAUUAUGUUUAAGUGGUAUCAUUGUUAAUAUUUUUAAGUGGAUUAACAUUUACCUACAAUGAUCUCUUUAACCUUUUUAGUAAGUUUUUUUUGUGUAUGUGUUUUAAGAUGAUGUAUCUGUAAAUAUGGCUUUUUAAAAAUCAUCAUUGUACUGAAUUCAUUUCUUGUGUUCCUGUAACUAGUCAUUUUAGCCACUAGUUAUCUAAACCUACAAUAGAGUUUAUUCAUUUCAGUUACUCUGUUCUUAGAAACUAACUAGUGUUUGAUCUACUACAAGAGAACGCUGUGUUCACACAUGCAUAAACUGUAAGUGGUUAAACUCUCUCUUCUGUGAAGAAUUCAUGGAUGACUUUGAAAUUACAAAAUAAGAAGUAGCUUGUUGUAUCCUAGCCUUGUGUUGGAAUAUAAAUGUUCUUGUUUCCUUCCCUUUAGCUGUUGAAAUCAAGGGACCCUCAAGGUUCAUUAGCUCCUACCUAACUGUCCAUAAAACUGUACUAGAAGUAGUUCCUGGGUCUCCUUUAUCCCGUGAGCUCUGGUGCUUAAGCUAAGGUGCAUUUUCUUAUCCAGGUUUAUAGGUGACAGGUCAGCUGAAGAAGACACGUUUUUUGGGUGCUUAUUCUUUAGUUGAAGGGAGAUAUACAUUGAUUCUUUUAUAUGAAAUUAAACAUAAUAUUUUUACAGCUCUUUUACAUUCACUAAGAGCUUUUCUGUGUAUUCAUGUGGUUAAUAUUCACAACAGUCCUGUGAAAUGGAUAUGAUUAAUGAUAUUCCUAUUUUGAAGGUAAAGAUCUAAUGCUCAGGAGGAAACUCGCCUAUGAUAUGUAGCAAACAGACAGAGCAGUCCAGGCCCCCUGGCUUCAUGUCUACUGUUCUUCCACCGAGUUGUGUGCCAUGCUGGGGUUCAGAAGCCUUGUGGGUAUGACUUAGAAUGGGAUUGUGUAAGUACUUAUUUUUGUUUCCUAAUAUUUCAUGUGCUAUGUUCUAGGAAAAACAAUUUGAUAUGCUUCAAUUAGAAAAUAACAUAGAUAUCUAUACUGAUCAGUAUUAGAGGAAAACUAUUCUUAUUUAUUUCAGUAAGAUACCUCAAUUAAAUAAAUAUUUUAGUGGAAAAUGAAAUUAUGGAUUGUUUUAUUUCUAAGGUUUAGAUCAUAUGAACUUUGGUUUUUAUUGACUCAACAGAUAGUAUCAAAUUGCCAAUUCUACACUAUUCCAUAUUUUAUUUACAUUUGUCAUGUCUUCUAAACAAUUAUGAUAAUACUACUACUUCAGAACUAAUGAGUCCACAUAUAUAAUAAAUACCCACAUCUUGGCUGCAAACAAAAGAAAUUUUAGAUUCCUUUCUCAAUAAUUUUAUAUUCUCUGAAAUAUCACAGUAUGGCACUGUGCUAGCAAACCACUGAGGAUGAGUGAAAUGCCCAGUCCUUACAGUUUAAAUGUAUUUCUAUUUAGGGAAUUGUUUUUCAAGUAACUCCAGAUGAAUUUACUAGGACUGAAGAUUUAUCUAUGUAAAUUGUAAACAUCCCACAAACUGGGCUUAAAAUCCAAGUAACUUUACUGUGUCUAUUGCAUCAAUAUUUCUCUUUCUAUAUGAUCUUAAGGUAGGUAAAGGACCAUUUUUAGAAAUUGGUCCUUUUGGAAAGUAUAACUCAGUCUUUUUAAAUGCUUAGUAUGUAUAAAUCUCUGGAUUUCAGACCCCUCAAUCCCUUUCACAUCUUUAAUAACAUUAAUAAUCUCAACAUAGAACCAGUGCUCAACAAGCAGUACAUAACAAAAGCAACUACUUAUAAAUAUCUAGCAGGUUGUGACUAAUCAUCAGCUGAAAACCUCUUCCAAGGG